rnacentral:rRNA from 1 species
AUUGAACGCUGGCGGCAUGCUUUACACAUGCAAGUCGAACGGUAACAGGCCUUCGGGUGCUGACGAGUGGCGAACGGGUGAGUAAUGCAUCGGAACGUACCCAGAGGUGGGGGAUAACGCAGCGAAAGCUGUGCUAAUACCGCAUGUGAUCUGAGGAUGAAAGCGGGGGACCGAGCAGCAAUGUUUGGCCUCGCGCCUUUGGAGCGGCCGAUGUCGGAUUAGCUAGUUGGUGGGGUAAAGGCCUACCAAGGCGACGAUCCGUAGCUGGUCUGAGAGGACGAGAGGCCACACUGGGACUGAGACACGGCCCAGACUCCUACGGGAGGAAGCGGGGGGGAUUUGGGAACAAGGGGGGAAAGCCUGACGCAGCAAGGCGGCGGGAGGGAGGAGGGUCUUGGGGUGGUAAAACGGUGUGGGGAGGGAAGAACCGGUGUCUAAGAAACCGGGCGGGUAUGGACGGUACCUAAAAAGAAAGACCCGGCUAACUAGGUG